AUUGCUUUGGCAGAUAAGUGCAACGGAUUUAGAAUUCGUGUAUGUAGAAAUUUAAUUCUAUAAGUAAUA
rnacentral:tRNA from 1 species